rnacentral:rRNA from 1 species
GUCGGGUAUUGAUGCAUGUAUUAGCUCUAGAAUUACUACUUGGAUAACCGUAGUAAUUCUAGAGCUAAUACAUGCAUCAACUCCCAACUGCUUCGGCGGACGGGAUGUAUUUAUUAGAUGGAAACCAAUACCGAGUUUUCUCGGUUUUUGUGGUGAAUCAUAGUAACUGUGCGAAUCGACUUCGGUCGAUGGUUCAUUCAAGUUUCUGCCCUAUCAGCUUUGGAUGGUAGGGUAUUGGCCUACCAUGGCUUUAACGGGUAACG